rnacentral:ncRNA from 2 species
AUUUAUUCUCAGGGCGGGGCGAAAUUCCCCACCGGCGGUAUACCUGUUUUAGGUGAGCCCGCGAGCGCUCGAUUCGUCGAGGUCAGCAGAUCUGGUGAGAUGCCAGAGCCGACGGUUAUAGUCCGGAUGAGAGAGAAUGAAA